rnacentral:rRNA from 1 species
UAGGUAAAUCCGGGAUUCUAAGGCCGAGAGCUGAUGACGAGUCAUCUUUUAGAUGACGAAGUGGUUGAUGCCAUGCUUCCAAGAAAAGCUUCUAAGCUUCAGGUAACCAGGAACCGUACCCCAAACCGACACAGGUGGUUGGGUAGAGAAUACCAAGGCGCUUGAGAGAACUCGGGUGAAGGAACUAGGCAAAAUGGCACCGUAACUUCGGGAGAAGGUGCGCCGGUGAGGGUGAAGGACUUGCUCCGUAAGCUCAUGCCGGUCGAAGAUACCAGGCCGCUGCGACUGUUUAUUAAAAACACAGCACUCUGCAAACACGAAAGUGGACGUAUAGGGUGUGACGCCUGCCCGGUGCCGGAAGGUUAAUUGAUGGGGUUAGCUAACGCGAAGCUCUUGAUCGAAGCCCCGGUAAACGGCGGCCGUAACUAUAACGGUCCUAAGGUAGCGAAAUUCCUUGUCGGGUAAGUUCCGACCUGCACGAAUGGCGUAACGAUGGCGGCGCUGUCUCCACCCGAGACUCAGUGAAAUUGAAAUCGCUGUGAAGAUGCAGUGUAUCCGCGGCUAGACGGAAAGACCCCGUGAACCUUUACUAUAGCUUUGCACUGGACUUUGAAUUUGCUUGUGUAGGAUAGGUGGGAGGCUUUGAAGCGUGGACGCCAGUUCGCGUGGAGCCAACCUUGAAAUACCACCCUGGCAACUUUGAGGUUCUAACUCAGGUCCGUUAUCCGGAUCGAGGACAGUGUAUGGUGGGUAGUUUGACUGGGGCGGUCUCCUCCUAAAGAGUAACGGAGGAGUACGAAGGUGCGCUCAGACCGGUCGGAAAUCGGUCGUAGAGUAUAAAGGCAAAAGCGCGCUUGACUGCGAGACAGACACGUCGAGCAGGUACGAAAGUAGGUCUUAGUGAUCCGGUGGUUCUGUAUGGAAGGGCCAUCGCUCAACGGAUAAAAGGUACUCCGGGGAUAACAGGCUGAUACCGCCCAAGAGUUCAUAUCGACGGCGGUGUUUGGCACCUCGAUGUCGGCUCAUCACAUCCUGGGGCUGAAGCCGGUCCCAAGGGUAUGGCUGUUCGCCAUUUAAAGUGGUACGCGAGCUGGGUUUAGAACGUCGUGAGACAGUUCGGUCCCUAUCUGCCGUGGACGUUUGAGAUUUGAGAGGGGCUGCUCCUAGUACGAGAGGACCGGAGUGGACGAACCUCUGGUGUUCCGGUUGUCACGCCAGUGGCAUUGCCGGGUAGCUAUGUUCGGGAAAGAUAACCGCUGAAAGCAUCUAAGCGGGAAACUUGCCUCAAGAUGAGAUCUCACUGGAACCUUGAGUUCCCUGAAGGGCCGUCGAAGACUACGACGUUGAUAGGUUGGGUGUGUAAGCGCUGUGAGGCGUUGAGCUAACCAAUACUAAUUGCCCGUGAGGCUUGACC